GGGUCAUUGUUGUGGUGUCAUGGCCGCCAUCGGGGUGUCAUGGCCGCCAGGGUCAUCGUUGUGGUGUCAUGGCCGCCAGGGUGUCAUGGCUACCUUGGUGGUGUCAUGGCCGCUGGGGUCAUCGCUGUGGUGUCAUGGCCGCUGUGGUCAUCACUGGGGUGUCAUGGCUGCCACCAAGGUGUCAUGGCUGCCAUUGAGGUGUCAUGGCCGCCAGGGUGUCAUGGCUGCUGGGGUGGUGUCAUGGCUGCUGGGGUCAUUGUUGUGGUGUCAUGGUCGCCGUCAAGGUGUCAUGGCCACCGUCGGGGUGUCAUGGCUGCCGUGGUCAUCGUUGAGGUAUCAUGGCUGCCCUGGUCGUUGUUGGGGUGUCAUGGCCGCCAUCGAGGUGUCAUGGCUGCUGUCGAGGUGUCAUGGCCGCCGAGGUGUCAUGGCUGCCGCUGAGGUGUCAUGGCCGCCGUCGGGGUGUCAUGGCUGCCGGGGUGUCAUGGCUGCCUUGGUGGUGUCAUGGCCGCCGGGGUGUCAUGGCCGCCAUCGAGGUGUCAUGGCCGCCAUUGAGGUGUCAUGGCCGCCUUGGUGGUGUCAGCGCUGCCUUUGGGGUCGUCACGGUGAGCACCACGAUGACGUCACACCAACCACGAUGACGUCACACCAACCACGAUGACGUCACACCAACCUCAUUGACCUCUCACCAACCACGGUGAUGACCAUGGUGACCAUCACGAUGACCUCACACCAACCAUGACGACCUCUUGCCAACCACGAUGACCCAACACCAACAACGAUGACCUCUUGCCAACCACAUUGAUGACCUCUUCCCAACGCUGAUGAUGCACCACCAACGCCGAUGACCUCUUGCCAACUGCGUUGACUUCUCACCAACAUCGUUGACCUCUUGCCAACCAAAGUGAUGACCACGGUGAUGACCAUGAUGACUUCUUGCCAACACCGAUGACCCAACGCCAACCACACCGACGACCUCUUGCCAACUGCGUUGACCUCUUGCCAACCAUGGUGAUGACCUCUUGCCAACCACGUUGACUUCAUGCCAACCACCAUGACCUCUUGCCAACCGCGUUGACUUCUCACCAACAUCGUUGACCUCUUCCAACCAUGGUGAUGACCACGGCGAUCACCACGAUGACCUCACACCAACAACGAUGACCCAACGCCAACCACGAUGACUUCUCACCAACAUCGUUGACCUCUUGCCAACCAUGGUGAUGACCAUGAUGACCUCUCGCCAACCACGAUGACCCAACACCAACCACGAUGACCUCUUGCCAACUGCGUUGACCUCUUGCCAACCAUGGUGAUGACCUCUUGCCAACCACGUUGACUUCUCACCAACAUCGUUGACCUCUUGCCAACCAUGGUGAUGACCACGAUGACCUCUUGCCAACACCGAUGACCCAACACCAACAACGAUGACCUCUUGCCAACCAUGGUGAUGACACCAUGCCAACCACAUUGACUUCUCACCAACAUUGUUGACCUCUUGCUAACCAUGGUGAUGACCACGGUGACCUCUUGCCAACGCCGAUGACCCAGCACCAACAACGAUGACCUCUUGCCAACCAUGGUGAUGACCAUGGUGAUGACCACGACGACCUCUUGCCAAAGACAUUGAUGACCUCUUGCCAACGAUGAUGACCCAACACCAC
rnacentral:lncRNA from 1 species